CCCUUAGAUGUCCUGGGCUGCACGCGCGCUACACUGAUGUGUCCAGUAAGCACCUAACCUCUUCCGAAAGGAACGGGUAACCUUUGCAAAGCACAUCGUGAUGGGGAUAGAUUAUUGCAAUUAUUAGUCUUGAACGAGGAAUUCCUAGUAAGCACAAGUCAUCAGCUUGUGUUGAUUACGUCCCUGCCCUUUGUACACACCGCCCGUCGCUCCUACCGAUUGAAUGUUCCGGUGAGCUCUUCGGACUGCGCGGUCUGCAGUUUCUGUGUUCCGUGCGGAAAGUUGCGCAAACCUUAACAUUUAGAGGAAGGAGAAGUCGUAACA
rnacentral:rRNA from 1 species